rnacentral:rRNA from 1 species
CAGCAGCCGCGGGAAUACGUAGGUGGCAAGCGUUGUCCGGAAUUAUUGGGCGUAAAGGGCUCGCGGGCGGUUUCUUAAGUCUGAUGUGAAAGCCCCCGGCUCAACCGGGGAGGGUCAUUGGAAACUGGGAAACUUGAGUGCAGAAGAGGAGAGUGGAAUUCCACGUGUAGCGGUGAAAUGCGUAGAGAUAUGGAGGAACACCAGUGGCGAAGGCGACUCUCUGGUCUGUAACUGACGCUGAGGAGCGAAAGCGUGGGGAGCGAACAGGAUUAGAUACCCCAGUAGUCCCUGUCUCUUAUAA